UUCAUGACUCCUGCUCCGGCGCCAUGGCGGCGCGGGAUUCGAUUAGAGUUUGAUCAUGGUGGACCCCUGGCGGCGGGCCUAACACAUGCAGUCGAGAGAAAGCCCCUGCUUGCAGGGGCGAGUAAAGUGGCGUACGGGUGAGUAACGCGUGGUUAAUCUACCCUUGGGUUUGGGAUAACGUCCCGAAAGGGGCGCUAAUACCGGAUAAGACCACGGUGUCCACGGGCACUGGGGUAAAAGUGGGCCUCUACAUGUAAGCUCAUGCCUGAGGAUGAGACCGCGUCCCAUUAGCUUGUUGGUGAGGUAACGGCUCACCAAGGCCGCGAUGGGUAGCUGAUCUGAGAGGAUGAUCAGCCACACUGGGACUGGAACACGGCCCAUACUCCUACGGGAGGCAGCAGUGAGGAAUCUUGCGCAAUGGGGGAAACCCUGACGCAGCCACGCCGCGUGGGUGAAGAAGGCCUUCGGGUUGUAAAGCCCUGUCAGGUGGGAAGAACCGCAGUCUGGCCAAUACCUGGACUGCUUGACGGUACCACCAAAGGAAGCACCGGCUAACUCCGUGCCAGCAGCCGCGGUAAUACGGAGGGUGCAAGCGUUGUUCGGAAUUACUGGGCGUAAGCGCGUGUAGGCGGACCGGUAAGUUGGGAGUGAAAGCCCUGGGCUCAACCCAGGAAGUGCUUCCAAUACUGCCGGUCUUGAGUUCCGGAGAGGGUGGUGGAAUUCCCGGUGUAGAGGUGAAAUUCGUAGAUAUCGGGAGGAACACCAGUGGCGAAGGCGACUACCUUGACGAA
rnacentral:rRNA from 1 species